UACAUGCAAGUCGAACGAACUCUGGUAUUGAUUGGUGCUGCAUCAUGAUUUACAUUUGAGUGAGUGGCGAACUGGUGAGUAACACGUGGGAAACCUGCCCAGAAGCGGGGGAUAACACCUGGAAACAGAUGCUAAUACCGCAUAACAACUUGGACCGCAUGGUCCGAGUUUGAAAGAUGGCUUCGGCUAUCACUUUUGGAUGGUCCCGCGGCGUAUKAGCUAGAUGGUGAGGUAACGGCUCACCAUGGCAAUGAUACGUAGCCGACCUGAGAGGGUAAUCGGCCACAUUGGGACUGAGACACGGCCCAAACUCCUACGGGAGGCAGCAGUAGGGAAUCUUCCACAAUGGACGAAAGUCUGAUGGAGCAACGCCGCGUGAGUGAAGAAGGGUUUCGGCUCGUAAAACUCUGUUGUUAAAGAAGAACAUAUCUGAGAGUAACUGUUCAGGUAUUGACGGUAUUUAACCAGAAAGCCACGGCUAACUACGUGCCAGCAGCCGCGGUAAUACGUAGGUGGCAAGCGUUGUCCGGAUUUAUUGGGCGUAAAGCGAGCGCAGGCGGUUUUUUAAGUCUGAUGUGAAAGCCUUCGGCUCAACCGAAGAAGUGCAUCGGAAACUGGGAAACUUGAGUGCAGAAGAGGACAGUGGAACUCCAUGUGUAGCGGUGAAAUGCGUAGAUAUAUGGAAGAACACCAGUGGCGAAGGCGGCUGUCUGGUCUGUAACUGACGCUGAGGCUCGAAAGUAUGGGUAGCAAACAGGAUUAGAUACCCUGGUAGUCCAUACCGUAAACGAUGAAUGCUAAGUGUUGGAGGGUUUCCGCCCUUCAGUGCUGCAGCUAACGCAUUAAGCAUUCCGCCUGGGGAGUACGGCCGCAAGGCUGAAACUCAAAGGAAUUGACGGGGGCCCGCACAAGCGGUGGAGCAUGUGGUUUAAUUCGAAGCUACGCGAAGAACCUUACCAGGUCUUGACAUACUAUGCAAAUCUAAGAGAUUAGACGUUCCCUUCGGGGACAUGGAUACAGGUGGUGCAUGGUGUCGUC
rnacentral:rRNA from 2 species